CAGUCGCCGCGGUAAUACGUAGAUCCCGAGCGUUGUCCGGAUUUAUUGGGCGUAAAGGGAGCGCAGGCGGUUUAGUAAGUCUGAAGUUAAAGGCAUUGGCUCAACCAAUGUAUGCUUUGGAAACUGUUAGACUUGAGUGCAGAGGGGGAGAGUGGAAUUCCAUGUGUAGCGGUGAAAUGCGUAGAUAUAUGGAGGAACACCGGUGGCGAAAGCGGCUCUCUGGUCUGUCACUGACGCUGAGGCUCGAAAGCGUGGGUAGCGAACAGGAUUAGAUACCCCGGUAGUCCCUGUCUCUUAUACA
rnacentral:rRNA from 1 species